UGUCCAGUAGCACCUUAGAGACCAACUAAGUUUGUUCUGGCUAUAAGCUUUUGUGUGCAUGCACACUUCUUCAGAUACAACCAAGAACAAACUUAGCUGGUCUCUAAGGUGCUACUGGACA